rnacentral:rRNA from 1 species
UAUCCUACGGGGCGCAGCAGUGAGGAAUAUUGGUCAAUGGGCGGGAGCCUGAACCAGCCAAGUCGCGUGAAGGAAGAAGGUACUUAGUAUUGUAAACUUCUUUUGUCGGGGAACAAAGGCGGAGACGCGUCUCCGGAUGAGUGUACCCGAAGAAAAAGCAUCGGCUAACUACGUGCCAGCAGCCGCGGUAAUACGUAGGUGGCAAGCGUUAUCCGGAUUUAUUGGGCGUAAAGGGAACGCAGGCGGUUCAAUAAGGCUGAUGUGAAAGCCUUCGGGUCAACCGGAGAAUUGCAUCAGAAACUGUU